CAAACGGUCCUUUUAAGGGCCACGCACUCUCUGUGAGGAGCUGAUU
rfam:Gasterosteus aculeatus cont1.008693, whole genome shotgun sequence.